AUUAAUGGUUUGGUUUAAAUAAAAAAAUCUGUUCUUAUCAGUUUAAUAUCUGAUACGUCGCCCAUCGGGGGACUACAUAUUAAAUGGAUUUUUCGAACAGGGAGUCGGAAAUGGGGCUUGCUCCGUCCGCUCCACGCAUCGACCCGGUAUUGCAGUACCUCCGGGAACGGUGCAACACUU
ensembl:snRNA U2 U2 spliceosomal RNA